rnacentral:tRNA from 1 species
GCGCUCGUAGUAUAGGGGUCAGUAUGCUGGGUUCCCAACCCCGCGACCCGGGAAGUCCGUCCGCUUCGGGGGUGCUCGGGAUUUCAAUUCCCGGCGGGCGCA